rnacentral:misc_RNA from 1 species
AAGUCGUAACAAGGUUUCCGUAGGUGAACCUGCGGAAGGAUCAUUAUUGAAUAAACUUGGUGGAUUGUUGCUGGCUCCUUUCAUGAGCAAGUGCACGUCUGUCAUUUUUAUCUUUCCAACAUGUGCACUAUGCAUAGAUCUGAGUAUUUAUUUGACCAAAGUCAUCUUUGGUUUUUUGGAAAUUGCCAUUGCAAUAAUGGCUUUUUCUGUAUUCAGAUUCUAUGAAUUUUAUAUACUCCAAUGUAUGUUUAUGAAUGCUAUUGUGAAGGGCUUUUAUAGCCUAUUAAAUUUAUACAACUUUCAGCAACGGAUCUCUUGGCUCUC